GUAUGGGCUGUCAGCCCAUGGUCCUUUGAGUUGGUGUGUCAGUGGACUCGGAAACAUGGUCACAGACACGCUGUAGCCGUUCUCGGAUCCGGAUCCACAAUAUUUUAUUCGAUUCACGUUCGCAGGUGGAGACGACCCGAUAUGGCCCUUGCUACCGCAGUCCCCGAGGAUCCAAUUGAUUUUGGAUUCGACUAUAAGGUCGAAGCGAUGACCUCCGGUCGCAUGCCUCUGCGAGCGGAACAACGUCCCACGGCAGACGAAGCAGACGCACGAUGCGGCUUGGCCCGUUGCGCCGCCCCCGCCAUCCUCUUGGGCUCCGCUGCCCGUUUACGACGAUCGGGUUCGUCCGAGAACUGGACCUAUCGCCUUGCCCUACCGUUAUCGGGAAGCACGAGGCGUUAGCGUGGCUAUGCGAAGGGCUGGGCUUCUUCGCGUCGCUCGGUUUGCACGCCGUCUUGAACGACAAAGCCUCCAAGAUACCUUUCGCAUCAGAAAUCUAACCGUAUGGCAAUCUGUAUCGAGCUUGGUGGGAACCACAAGAUGUUCCUCAAAUCCCUGCAAGAGCUUCAAGUUAACUAGACAACCCAAGACAUUCAAGUUGGCCCGUGGAUUGCGGAGUUGAAACUUGUGUUCAGAAGCAAAAGCCGGUACAAGGGAUCAGUGUAUUUUGUUUUCUUCUAACACCUAUUCUUCUUCUUCUAUUCUUGCUUGGACAUUUUGAAUUUAGCACACAUUCCGAAACUUGCAGUCAUUUAAUGAAGAUAACUAGUGAUCCCCCCAGUGGCUGUUCUCUCUCUGGUCAACCAUGAUCUUGGAAUAUUUUGCAAUGUACUAAGAAAUUUAGACUAUGCUCUGUAAAGAACCUUAGAGUGAACUUCUAGGGCUUGGAAUUAGGUCAUGAUGUUGAAUGUCAGAUAUGACUGCUUGGUUU